UCGGGAAUUUUGGGCAAUGGGCGAAAGCCUGACCCAGCAACGCCGCGUGAAGGAUGAAGUAUUUCGGUAUGUAAACUUCGAAAGAAUAGGAAGAAUAAAUGACGGUACUAUUUAUAAGGUCCGGCUAACUACGUGCCAGCAGCCGCGGUAAUACGUAGGGACCAAGCGUUGUUCGGAUUUACUGGGCGUAAAGGGCGCGUAGGCGGCAAUUCAAGUCAUCUGUGAAAUCUCCGGGCUUAACUCGGAACGGUCAGAUGAUACUGCUUUGCUAGAGUGCAGAAGGGGCAAUCGGAAUUCUUGGUGUAGCGGUGAAAUGCGUAGAUACUGGGAGGAACAUCUGAGGCGAAGGCGACUAUCUGGAUCAUAACUGACGCUGAGGUACGAAAGCAUGGGUAGCAAACAGGAUUAG
rnacentral:rRNA from 1 species